rnacentral:rRNA from 1 species
GAACCAGUACACAGGUGCUGCAUGGCUGUCGUCAGCUCGUGUCGUGAGAUGUUGGGUUAAGUCCCGCAACGAGCGCAACCCUUGUCAUUAGUUGCUACGAAAGGGCACUCUAAUGAGACUGCCGGUGACAAACCGGAGGAAGGUGGGGAUGACGUCAAGUCCUCAUGGCCCUUAUGGGUAGGGCUUCACACGUCAUACAAUGGUACAUACAGAGGGCCGCCAACCCGCGAGGGGGAGCUAAUCCCAGAAAGUGUAUCGUAGUCCGGAUUGUAGUCUGCAACUCGACUGCAUGAAGUUGGAAUCGCUAGUAAUCGCGGAUCAGCAUGUCGCGGUGAAUACGUUCCCGGGUCUUGUACACACCGCCCGUCACACCAUGGGAGCGGGUUUUACCAGAAGUAGGUAGCUUAACCGUAAGGAGGGCGCUUACCACGGUAGGAUUCGUGACUGGGGUGAAGUCGUAACAAGGUAGCCGUAUCGGAAGGUGCGGCUGGAUCACCUCCUUUCUAG